rnacentral:sRNA from 1 species
UACGCCUGCAGUUUAUGAGCAUGAACCCUUCCGCAGGAGGUUCGAGCCUCGCGAAGCGAAACGACGUUGCUUUAGCAACGGCCCGCAGGGCGCGUAUCCAGGAUGCACAUAAUCCUCUCUCGCCGAACG